rnacentral:rRNA from 1 species
GCAAGUCGAGGGGCAGCAUUUCCAGCUUGCUGGAAGAUGGCGACCGGCGCACGGGUGAGUAACGCGUAUGCAACCUACCUAUUACAGGGGGAUAGCCCAGAGAAAUUUGGAUUAAUACCCCGUAGUACUGUUUAACCGCAUGGUUUUAACAGUUAAAGCUUCGGCGGUAAUAGAUGGGUAUGCGUAAGAUUAGCUAGUUGGUAAGGUAACGGCUUACCAAGGCAACGAUCUUUAGGGGGCCUGAGAGGGUGACC